GGAGCCAGGAAGCGCGGGGCGAAACACACGCCGCGCACGGAGCAGAGGCGGAAACGGGCGGGGCGGGGGGACGGAGGAGACGCACGAAGGGCGCAGGCGAGCGCACACACGGACGCAAGCCCGGAGCAGGAGGGGCGGCGAAACCGGGCGGCGAGAUGACGCCACAGGCCGGGGCCAAGACUAGUACCAGAGAUACGGCCAAGCGUAAGUGACCACAAGGCGCGAACCGCGAGGGAGAACAAAAUACCGAGAUAGGACCAGACGCACAGCAGCCCGGACGCAGGGCCCCAGGGAGCGCACAGCCCGGGACCAUAACGCAGGAAGAAGGACCGGCGGAGGCCGACCGUACAAGAGCGAGGCGCGCCACCGAUCGCACGAAUGGGGGGGCUGAGCCGACGCCGGCACGAGCCGCGGAAGACGCGACCAGGGCGGACGCCCGAGGAUGGCGAGACGGCGAUGCGUAAGCACCCCAGAGAGGGGCGGACGGUCGGAAAGCAGAGAAACCGGAGCGGAAAGCAGGAGAACACGCAGGGACGACCAGGCGGCAAGCUCCGCAGGGACCGGCCCGACGACAGCCGGCCCCGCGCCGCAACGGGCGGCGAUCCAGCCCCCG
rnacentral:lncRNA from 1 species